AACGAACGCUGGCGGCGCGCCUAACACAUGCAAGUCGAACGUGAUUGAAGAGCUUGCUCUUCAUGAAAGUGGCGCACGGGUGAGUAACGCGUAGAUAAUCUACCUGGUGAUUUGGGAUAACAGUUCGAAAGGACUGCUAAUACCGAAUAAGCCCACGGAGUCUUUGGAUUCUGCGGGAAAAGGGGGGGACCGUAUGGCCUUCCGUUAUCAGAUGAGUCUGCGUAACAUUAGGUAGUUGGUGGGGUAAAGGCCUAACAAGGCGACGAUGGUUUGCUGGUCUGAGAGGAUGAGCAGACACCAUGGAAAUGAGACACGGUCCAGGCUCCUACGGGAGGCAGCAGUGAGGAAUUUUGCGCAAUGGGGGAAACCCUGACGCAGCAACGCCGCGUGAGUGAUGAAGGCCCUUGGGUCGUAAAGCUCUGACAGAGGGAAAGAAAUGCAGGGGAGCUAAUAUCUCCUUUGCUUGACGGUACCCUCAAAGGAAGCACCGGCUAACUCCGUGCCAGCCGCCGCCGUAACAC
rnacentral:rRNA from 1 species